rnacentral:rRNA from 1 species
AUGGGGUCGCCGGCCUGGCGCGGCUUAUGGCGAGGCUUGUCGAGAUGUGGCCGCUCCCCCUACACCGCGGCGCCCCCUCCCAGUCUCUACCUCGCCAGGGCAGCAGAGGUCCCCGAUGCGUCGGGGCGCCGCCAUCUCGCCGUGCAGCGGCACGCGAUCUCACACAUGCUGGGAACCAUGGACCUGGCGCCUAGCAUCAACACGGAGGAGUGGUGGAAGAGGAGGAGCCGGUACCACGGGGCGAGCUGGGUUCAGGCGCACGCUCCGUCGCGCUUCUUCUCGGCUACCCCCAAGGAUCUACUGAAGGGUUCGAAGGCGGAUCCGAGCGAUCUUGCGGUGCCGAGUCCAGGUGAUGAUGCACACGGUCCCGGGGACAUGGCGAUGCACAAUCGGUUCGCAUCGGCACAACCGCUCGCGCUUGUAGAGCAGGUGAAGUGGUGGCAGAUCAGAUAUCUGAGUAAAGGCGCACAAGCUGCUGGUGCAAUUGACUCUAAUUUUGAAAGAGGCUUGAUAUGUGUUGAGGUGUACGCUUAUUUGUACCUCCCUCUAAUACGCCGGAGAGAAAUGUUGCCAACGCUGUCUUCUUCAUAUCAUAUUUUUCCUCAAAUGCACAGAUUUUUUUCGCGAAGAAAGAGAAAGUUUCAGGAAGAAAUCAUUUUGAAGGCAAAGAACUCCAGCGUUUUAUGUUUGGAUGGUACCAGUGCUGAAGUGAAAUCAAGCCUGAGAAAAGUAAUUGCACGGUUGCGGCAGUUUUGCUAUGACCAUGGGGAGCGUGUUGAUGUCUCAUCUAUCUAUGGACCUGGGAGCGAGGUAUAUACUCCACCAGGAGUUGGUACAUUCCAUCUUGAGGUCUUACACUGCGAAAGAUCCAUCAGCUUUCCAAUUUUGGCAAACAAGCUAUAUUUCAGAGCCUUCAGAAAUGGUCACGGUAUGUUUGUAUUCAAAGAUGAGGAGGAUUUUAAAUGUGAUGAGGAUUACAUUGUGCUUGACUUUACGGGUAGUUAUACCUCUGCUGGCCUUGGUCGGCAUAGUGUCGGGGACACAUGGAUAGGAACUCAAGCUCUUAGACACGCAUUUCAUGUCAUAUCCAAGUGCAACGGAAGGUCUACAGAUUUAUUGAAGCAAGCUAUCAAGAUCUUCAUAAUUCAUAUAGCUGAAGCUGCACGCAUCCAAUGCGUUCUUGAUGCAGUUUGCGAAUCAAUUACUGGUGAAAGGACUCAUCUAGAUGAGCCUAAUUCGCAACCUACCUGUGCACCAUCUAGUGAGCCAGAGGCUGAGGCUGAGUCUGCUCCUUCAAGUGAGGCUGAGUCUGCUCCUUCAAGUGAGACUGAGGCUGCAGUUUCGCCAGCCGCUUCUCCACCUUCGAGCGCUACUGAGGCUGCUCCUGUUGCUUCAUCACCAGCCCCUCCACCAUCUUAUUGGAUUGCAACUUACGGACAUUAUUCAAAUGAAGCUAAGGAAGCAAUCGACGCGCAACUGACCAACAAUGGGAAAUAUACCAUUAUUAGUAAGGAUGAUUAUCAGAUAACAUCACUGGAUGAUAUCUUGAAACAGAUCAGGAUAUUAUCCCGGGAAGUGCACAACAAGGGUGUAUUUGCACACAAAGCAGACGACUCACUAUUGGCACUGCCAAAAGAGUGUCCGCCUGAUCCUAGUGGGAAGGAGGUAGAGUAUCCUUAUGCUCUAUUAGAGGAGUGGAACAAGGGCAAGAUUCUGUAG